UAUAUCGCUUUUUAAUUACGGUGGCUGC
rnacentral:sRNA from 1 species